GAGAAAGCUGCUUCCUCGUGCCCUCCCGCUGACGGUCUAUGAACAUUAAUGCAGUUUGUGAGAAAAGAAAAAGCAAACUAACAAACAAAAGCAAAAGCCUCCCGGCAUGAGAAUGAGCUGAAAAGCUGAACGCUAAGCACAGCAGCAGGAGAGCAGCGCAGGGCCCUGCUGCAUCAGACAUUCCUCUGGGCUGCCAGAGACAGAAAGAUACAAUAUAAAAGAAGCACACAGGGGAGAAGAAAGUGUGUGAGAAAGAGAGAGAUGUCAGCAAAAGUCCAUAGUAUGCCCCAAACCAGCUAGCAGUAUUCAAUUGGAUUCCAAUCUGGUAAUUGUAGUUUUGAGACAUGAAGCAAUUAAAAGAUGGUAAACUGUGUUUACUAAGAGUAGCACAUGAUCACCAACUAUACUCAAAUUGGCUGCAGCAUUCAAGCGAUGAUUGACUGGUAUUACCAGACCUAAAGUGUGCCAAGAAAACAUUCCCAAUUACCACCAUUACACCACCUACACCAACCUGGACUGCUGACUCAAAUUACAAUCUGUGUGCAUCGGCAGAAAUCAACAUUCCUUAUACAUUACAUUUUUUCAAUCUUCAGCUGUCCAAUUUGGCUGAGCUUGACAGCUUUCUGUUCUUGGUUUACAGAAGUCGAACUUGACAUGGUCUUCUGCUAAUUGACCUCAAGGCUUUGUGUUGUGCAUUCUGAGAUGCUUUUCCUAUCACCACAAUUGUAUAGAGUGGUUAUCUGAGGUCUGAGGUACUGACACUGUUGUCAGCUCAAACCUCUCUGGCAGUUCUCUGCUGACCUCUCCGUCAACAAUGAACUUUUCUUUGCAGAA